rnacentral:rRNA from 1 species
UACGAAGGGGGCUAGCGUUGCUCGGAAUCACUGGGCGUAAAGGGUGCGUAGGCGGGUCUUUAAGUCAGGGUGAAAUCCUGGAGCUCAACUCCAGAACUGCCUUUGAUACUGAGGAUCUUGAGUUCGGGAGAGGUGAGUGGAACUGCGAGUGUAGAGGUGAAAUUCGUAGAUAUUCGCAAGAACACCAGUGGCGAAGGCGGCUCACUGGCCCGAUACUGACGCUGAGGCACGAAAGCGUGGGGAGCAAACAGG